AUGCUACUGGUCGUUUACAGCUUACCCACCAGCCUGUGCCCCCACCGUGGAAAGUCAACACUAGGACAGAAGGCUUUAUCCACCUGCGUGUGGUCUGAGAUGGAAAACGCAGUUCACCUCACGGAGUUUGGAACUGCUUGCUACAGGGUGCUUCUUUCCUGGUGGAACUGUGGUUUCGAUGCCCUGAGGACAAUCCUUCACCCUUAUUUGAAGCCGUGCAAUGAAGCAGGUCGCCCUAGAUUGAAAGCACAAAGCCGGGCGGGCCGGUCCCCUCCUUCCCCUGCGGUUCCGCAGCCCACCUCCCGGCAGGAAGCUGCGGUGCAGACAUUCCCUCCCUAGAGAGGGCUGAGCACUGAACGCCGCGCACAAGCACCCUCUGGGAGGGACGGAUCCCUGAGCCCCCAGAGAGGUCACUGUCAGUGAGCAGUUAGGACAGGAGGCAUUUCUCACACUUGCUAAUGAGUUCGACGCUUGUGAAACAUAAACAGGAAGUGGGAGCUCUCCAAAGCGACCUGGAGGAAAUCCACUCCCAGUUUGGUCAAAGUGUGAAUCCCAGUCCUCUAGGUUGUCAAGGACACCCCGAUGAAGACGGACACCCCCCAAGCUGCGCCCGGGGCCGGAACUCGGCCCAGCCCCGGCGGCGACCCGGCUUCUGCUCAGUCCUUCCCACAGCCGGGCCCCAGCGGCGGGGUGACUGACCCGAGGCGCGGUGGGAACCGCUUACAGUCAUCUCUCAACUUGCAGGGCAGGGCAGCGCGGAGGUCAGUGAAAUCCCCAGCCAGGCCUUAUUUUAGUCAUGAAUUUCCACUGGCUCCCUCCUCUGACUGCAUCAGCGCUGCUCACACCGCGGGCUUGGAGUUUCAGCUGUUUUCCCUGUCCAGGCUGAGUUAGAAGGUCACAGAGACCGGGCUUUGCGGGGGUGGGGGGGUGCGGGGUAGGUGCGGCCUCUCCCCCCGCCCCCGCCCCCCGCGUGCGCCUCGCGGAGGUCUGGGGCUGCUUUGGGGAGGCCUUUCUGCCCCAAGCUCAGGGCAGUGGCUUAGCGGCUUCCUCCUCCUCCUCCUCCUCCUCCUCCUCCCACGCAUCUGGGUCCGCAUUAAAUAAAUUUUGAAACAAAACAAACUUAG
rnacentral:lncRNA from 1 species